AGAGUUUGAUCAUGGCUCAGAACGAACGCUGGCGGCGGUGCUUAACACAUGCAAGUCGAACGCGAACGGGACUUCGGUUCCUAGUAGAGUGGCGCACGGGUGAGUAACGCGUAGAUAACCUAUCUUUAUGUCUGGGAUAACACGCCGAAAGGGGUACUAAUACCGGAUAUUCUUGCAUUUCAUAAGUAUUGCAAGGAAAGGUGGCCUCUGAUUCAAGCUACUGCAUAGAGAGGGGUCUGCGUACCAUUAGCUAGUAGGUGGGGUAAUGGCCUACCUAGGCAACGAUGGUUAGCGGGUCUGAGAGGAUGAUCCGCCACACUGGCACUGAAACACGGGUCAGACUCCUACGGGAGGCAGCAGUGAGGAAUAUUGCGCAACGGGGGCAACCCUGACGCAGCGACGCCGCGUGAGUGAGGAAGGCCUUCGGGUCUUUUAGCUCUCUCAAGAGGGAAGAAGUGCAUGGUAACUAAAACGGGGCAUGUUUGACGGUACCUCUAAAGGAAGCACCGGCUAACUCCGUGCCAGCAGCCGCGGUAAUACGGAGGGUGCAAGCGUUGUUCGGAAUUACUGGGCGUAAAGGGCGCGCAGGCGGCCUGCCAAGUCAGAUGUGAAAUGCCAUGGCUUAACCAUGGACGUGCAUUUGAAACUGGUGGGCUUGAGUACCAGAGGGGAAGGUGGAAUUCCCGGUGUAGAGGUGAAAUUCGUAGAUAUCGGGAGGAAUACCGGUGGCGAAGGCGACUUUCUGGCUGGAUACUGACGCUGAGGCGCG
rnacentral:rRNA from 1 species